rnacentral:rRNA from 1 species
CACGUAGGGCGCAAGCGUUGUCCGGAAUUAUUGGGCGUAAAGAGCUCGUAGGCGGUCUGUCGCGUCGGCUGUGAAAACCUGGGGCUCAACCCCGGGCCUGCAGCCGAUACGGGCAAACUAGAAUUCGGUAGGGGAGACUGGAAUUCCUGGUGUAGCGGUGAAAUGCGCAGAUAUCAGGAGGAACACCGGUGGCGAAGGCGGGUCUCUGGGCCGAUAUUGACGCUGAGGAGCGAAAGCGUGGGGAGCGAACAGG